UGAAACCGUCAAAGAAAGAAUUUGAUUCUCUAUCCGUUAUCAGAGAAGAACAGAAAUAAACCCUUGCAUCUACUAAAACCCUGUAAACCAAAUAAAUUUAUUCUCCUCACAGAUCUUUUCGAAGUCGUCUUCUUCAUCUUCAGAGUGAAUAAUUUAUCUUCAACGGGUCGGGUGGUGAUGUUGAUAUUAUUGGAAGGGAUCCUGGUGAUUAAAGCCCUGCGCACACCAAAUCAAAAAUGCAUUUCCAUAUGGAGGGGCGAAGCCCGCGCUCACCAGGUUAGAAGUAAAAAGAAAAUGCCCGGUACGUAGAACGGGCAGUUAACAAUUUUGUAUAUAUAAUUUGAGUCCAAUUUAGAGCGCUGUGGUCGAAAGCUGAACAAAGCUUGAAUUCUAAUGCUUCUGGUCCCACUUGAUAGAAUAUAGACCAACAGCAAUCUUGGGUUUUGAGAUCUUUUCGGUGUUU